rnacentral:rRNA from 1 species
CCUACGGGAGGCAGCAGUGGGGAAUAUUGGACAAUGGGGGCAACCCUGAUCCAGCAAUGCCGCGUGUGUGAAGAAGGCCUGCGGGUUGUAAAGCACUUUAGGUAACGAGGAAAGUUUGGUUGUUAAUAGCAACUGAAAUUGACGUUAGUUACAGAAUAAGCACCGGCUAACUCUGUGCCAGCAGCCGCGGUAAUACAGAGGGUGCAAGCGUUAAUCGGAAUGACUGGGCGUAAAGGGUGCGUAGGUGGCGUUUUAAGUUAGAUGUGAAAUCCCUGGGCUUAACCUAGGAACUGCAUUUAAUACUGGGACGCUAGAGUAUGGGAGAGGUAAGUGGAAUUUCCGGUGUAGCGGUGAAAUGCGUAGAUAUCGGAAGGAACACCAGUGGCGAAGGCGGUUUACUGGCCUAAUACUGAUACUGAGGCACGAAAGCGUGGGGAGCAAACAGGAUUAGAUACCCUGGUAGUCCACGCCGUAAACGAUGAGAACUAGAUGAUGGGGCCGAUUAAGGUCUUAGUAUCGAAGCUAACGCGUUAAGUUCUCCGCCUGGGGAGUACGGUCGCAAGAUUAAAACUCAAAGGAAUUGACGGA